ACAAUUAAAAAGCAGCGGAACGCUAGCUAAAUUUCUACAAAAUGAAGAGGCCUUACGUUACAUGUCAAAGAAAAUCAACAAUAGUCGCUCCACAGCGAAUCAUUAACUCUCUUUACAGUUGAUUUUAAACAAAUCCAUUUACACUGAUCUAAAACCAGAAACGUAUCCAAACCCUCCCACUCGGGAGCGCAUGCUGUCACCUGUGCUCCUUCCCCACAUGGAUCAUUGGACAUACCGACUUCUUUGUGAAUGCGAGAUUUCAACCCACGUCACUUUCGUAGAUCUCCGUGUUGGCCGACACCUCCUCACAUCCCAGUAUUCUUUACCUGGCAACCCUGUAGCCAAGCACGGCCACAUUGAUCUGCGCACAUCCAUGGAUGGCAAAUACAAAGAGAUUGCAGAGGAGCUGUUCUCCCGCAGCCUGGCAGAGAGUGAGAUGCGGAGCGCUCCAUAUGAGUUUCCUGAGGAGAGCCCCAUUGAGCAGCUGGAGGAGAGGCGGCACAGACUGGAGCGGCAGAUCAGCCAGGAUAUCAAGUUUGAGCCUGAUAUCCUACUGCGAGCCAAACAGGACUUCAUGAAAACAGACAGUGCAACAGAUCUGGAGUAUAUGAAAGAGCAAUGCCAGGCACCCAAAGAACUGUAUCCCGAGAGAGAACUCGUCCCUGAGAGAGAGUAUCAGAGAGUCGCAAUCUCUGGAGAGGAGAAAUGUGGGGUUCCAUUCACUGAUCUGCUGGAUGCUGCUAAAUGUGUGGUCAAAGCUCUGUUCAUCAGAGAGAAGUACAUCUCUCUGUCCAUGCAAAGCUUCUGCAGGACCACAGCACGUUACCUGCAGGAGGAGCUGAGUGACCGACCCCUGGACCUCAAUACCUUUGAGGAGAUGCCCGAGUCCUCUGUAUCUGCAAAUGCAACCGUCCACCCGCCUGUGUCAGAAACCCACCCCUAUGAGGGGUUUGACCCUGCCAAAAUGGCCCCUGGGUUGGGCUACACUUGCAAGAUGGUGGAUGGUGUUGUUCAUGUAUACACACACAAUUCCUCAGAGCUGGACCUGCCGUACCCAGACCUGCAGGAGUACAUAGCGGAUAUGAACAUGAUGAUGGCGCUCAUCAUUAACGGGCCAGUGAAAUCUUUCUGCUAUCGCCGACUGCAGUACCUCAGCUCCAAGUUCCAGAUGCACGUUCUCUUAAACGAGAUGAAAGAAUUGGCGGCACAGAAGAAGGUCCCCCACCGUGAUUUCUACAACAUCAGGAAGGUGGACACACACAUCCAUGCCUCAUCCUGUAUGAAUCAGAAGCACCUGCUGCGCUUCAUUAAAAGAGCCAUAAAGAAAUAUCCAGGUGAAAUCGUCCAUGUAGAACAAGGUCGAGGACAGACCCUAACAGAGGUGUUUGAGAGCAUGAACCUGACGGCCUUUGACCUCAGCGUAGACACUCUGGAUAUGCACGCGGACCGUAACACAUUCCAUCGCUUUGAUAAAUUCAAUUCCAAAUACAACCCCAUUGGAGAGUCCAUCCUCCGAGAAAUCUUUAUUAAAACUGACAACCAUAUUGAGGGGAAAUACUUUGGGCACAUAAUCAAGGAGGUGAUGGCAGAUCUGGAGGAGAGCAAGUAUCAGAAUGUGGAGCUGCGUCUCUCCAUCUACGGCCGCUCACGAGAUGAAUGGGAUAAACUGGCUCAGUGGGCCGUCAAACACAAGGUUUAUUCAGAUAAUGUGCGCUGGCUGGUGCAGGUGCCACGGCUAUUUGACGUGUACCACACCAAGAAGCAGCUCUCUAACUUCCAGGAGAUGCUAGAGAACAUUUUUAUGCCUCUGUUUGAAGUCACUGUCAAUCCCAGCAGCCACCCACAGCUGCAUCUCUUCCUGCAACAUGUUGUCGGGUUUGAUAGUGUGGAUGAUGAGUCCAAACCUGAGCAUCACAUCUUUAACCUGGACAGUCCAAAACCUGUGAACUGGACAGAAGAAGACAAUCCUCCCUACUCAUAUUAUCUGUACUACAUGUAUGCAAAUAUGACUGUACUCAACCACCUGCGCAGGCAAAGGAACUUGAAUUCGUUUGUAUUACGUCCGCACUGUGGAGAGGCAGGGCCCAUUCACCACCUCGUGUCUGGAUUUAUGCUGUCAGAGAAUAUUUCCCAUGGCCUACUUCUGAGAAAAGCUCCUGUACUGCAGUAUUUGUAUUACCUGGCUCAGAUCGGCAUUGCCAUGUCUCCACUCAGCAACAACAGCCUCUUCCUCAGUUACCAUCGAAAUCCGCUGCCUGAGUACCUGUCCAGAGGCCUCAUGGUGUCUUUGUCCACUGAUGACCCUCUGCAGUUCCAUUUCACAAAGGAGCCGCUGAUGGAGGAGUACAGCAUCGCUGCUCAGGUGUGGAAGCUGAGCUCAUGUGACAUGUGUGAGCUGGCCCGAAACAGUGUGCUCAUGAGCGGAUUUUCUCACCAGGUGAAAAGCUACUGGCUGGGGCCGCAUUAUCUGAAAGAGGGGCAGGAGGGCAACGACAUCCGACGCACCAACGUUCCUGACAUCCGUGUGGCGUACCGCUUCGAGACGCUCUGUGAGGAGCUGAAUCUGAUCACGCAGGCUGUGCGGUCAGAGGAGCUGGAGACGGUUGAAGAGCAGGGAUCCCUGUGCAUGGGUGCAGGACCGACCAGAUGUUAGAGGCAUCAUACGCUUUCAAUUAUUCAACCAGUGCAGAGUGUUAAUGAAAGAAUACCAACUGGAAACACGCUUACAGAAUCUAUGAAGGUUCCAGAAACCCACAGUCAAGCUUUAGGAAACCCCAGAAGUCUCCUCCCUCUGUUACUGUGGACCUUACACUGUCCAUAACCUGCAGUCCAGCAUGAAGAUCAGUGAAAUGGUUUACACCGUCAUAGAUAAUGAACCGUCAUUUGGUGUUGCUUGUACACUUGUUCUGAACACUAACAGCCAUAAGCAUCUGUUCUUUGGCUAUUCUGUGUGAGCUCAAGUACCUCCGCACAUCUCUGUCAUGAGCCGUCAUAAUCAUGUCAUUUUUAAAUGGAGUUUUUUCCUCAUUUUAUAGUCUUGAUUUUAGCAGGUUCUGUUCUAAUCUGUCUAUUACUGUGAUAUUAUUUAUUUUCUAGUGGCUGUAUCCUAUGAGUCAUUUGGCCAUUUUUAUUUGUGUCUGUAAUUGAAUAAUUAUUAGUGCUAUUUAUUGUAAAUCAGACAUGAAGAUAUCAAAGUGAAGUUUAUUUUUUCUGCUCUAUUCUAUAUCUCAAAAUUAAAAUAUCAUAAUUCUGGGA